UCUUAUACAUCAAGUAUUUUACUUUAUAGAAAAAUUAAGACAUUUUUAUCAAGGUUUAUAACUGAUAAGCCAGAGCUCUAGUCUAAGGGUUCCUUUAGGUUAAAGCAUUUGAUAUUUGUUUUGUUUAACUUACAAAAUAGGUGACUUCAUGUGUUUAGUCUAGUUCAAGAGUUCUUUUUAAAAAAUAUUUAUUUAUUUUAUGUAUAUGAGUACAUUUUAGCUGUCUUUAGACAUAGCAAAGAGGACAUCCGAUCUCAUUACAGGUGGUUGUGAGCCAGUAUGUGGUUGCUGGGAUUUGAACUCAGGAUCUCUGGAAGAACAGUCAGUGCUCCUAACCCCUGAGCCAUCUCUCCAGCCCCCUCAAGAAUAUUUUAAUCCCUAUAUAACCACCAACUUCACCAAAAGAGCAGAAAAAUUUAAUUUUUUCCUCCACUACUCAGAGUAAUUCAACACAACACUGUCACAAUAUGACACCAAGGCAAAUUCUUCAGUGAGUUCCAAUUCUAAUACUGUCUACUUCAGGAUACAAAUUGAAGCCUAAGUCCUACAGUACUGUCAUCAUUCAAACACCAAUCACAAGUGCAUGUGAUUUUGGUCAUACAGUUAUAAAUCAAGAUUAUUACAGACCCUUGAUUGAAUUUCAGUAAUUUGACAGCAUGAUCUAGAAAACUCACAGAAACAUAAUAAUAUUGCUUAUCAUUAUAUUUAAAUAGUUAUUAAAAUGGAUAUAGAGGAAUAACCAAAUGAAAGAUGUGCAUAGCACAAGGUACAUGGGAAGGAGUGCAAACCAUUGUGGCAACCUUCAGGAAAUCUCCAUAUGAUCAGAUACUUUAAAAGUUGCCUUGUUUUGGUUUGGUUUGAGGGUUCAAUAGAAGUAACAAAACGUAACAUAAUGAUGAAAUCAUCGACCAUUGGUGAUCACCUUAACCUUUAGCUCUUUUACCCUCCCCAUCAGGGGUUAUGAGAUAGAGAUGAAAAUUCCAGCCAUUUAAUUAAUGUCUUGCUUUCUUCAGUGACUUUCCCCUAUUCAAAAGGGUAUCUAGGUAUAUAGGGCCACCAGUCAUCUCAUUAGUAUAUGAAAUAUAUGGAUCUCUUUCUAGGAUUACCAGGGGUUUUAGGUUGUGUUUGGGAGAUUAAUAGUAAAUAGAUUUUUCAUAAUAUAUAAUAGUCUUGUCAUUUUUGACACCCAUCCUUUUACAUAAAGAGGAUAUACAACCUCAAAUGAUAGUAAGGCAUUACUCAAAUUGUACUCAAUCAUUAAUAAUUUUUCUAGUACAUUAUCCACAAUAUCUCCCAGAGUGAGAAUACUGAGAAAUACAGGCUUUAUCUAAAACUUGUACAGUUCUAAAAUUAGGAGUAAGAGGCUUCUAUUUGAUUGAACUAGGGGACUGUCAUCUCUUUCUCUGAGUCCCUUUUAAGGUAUUAAGUAGUAUUGGAUUGCCCUCACUGCAUAAUCCAUUUAUUCAUUUGUGACCCAAAACUUUGAUUCCUCCUUUGCUAGAUAUUCAGACUUUCUCACAUUGGGAAGGGUGAUUAGGCUUGUCUGUUGUGCACAUCUAGACUGUAGGCAAGUAGUCCAGAGGAACCCUUCCCCUUCUUUCCUGUUCAGAUAGGCUGAAGUUGUGUGGAGAUGUGAUCAGCUAUCUGUACAGUUAGUUCCAAGCGCAGUAAAGGUGCAACCCAUUUACAUCAUAAGCUCCUUUGAAGUUUUAAAGGUUUUUAAAACAUAGGAUGUGAGGGUGUACUUUAGUAUGUAGUAUUUGCUUUGCAUUUAUGGAACCUUGAGUCCUAUUCUCUACAGAAGGAAAUGAAAAACCUCAAGUUUCUUGCUUAGGAAUUUUCUGUAUAUCCAGCACUUGUAGGGUUUGUUUGGUUUGUUGUUAUUGUUCUUGUUAUUGUGUGUGUUUGUGUAUGCUUUUAUAUAUGGUUGGCUUUUCAGUGCUGGAAAUUGAACCAAGGAUAUUACACAUGUUAAACAAGUCUCUUAGUACUAAGCUUUAUCUCUAGCAUGUUUCUUUUUUGAGAUAGGAUCUUACUAAAAUAUUCAUGCUGGCCUUGAACUCACUCUGUAGCUCAGACAGGCUUUAGUAAUACCCCAACCUUAGCCUCCUUAGUAGCUGAGAUCAUAGGCCUGUACCACCAGGCUUAUCACUCAGUAGUUUCACCAUGAUUCUAUAACCAUUGCAUCGGAUU
rnacentral:lncRNA from 1 species